ensembl:lncRNA
UAGAUGUUAGGUGUUAAGGUUAGGGUUAAAUACAGGUGUUAGGUGUUAAAUACAGAUGUUAGGUGUUAGGGUUAAAUACAGGUGUUAAAUACAGAUGUUAGGGUUAAAUACAGGUGUUAGGUGUUAAAUACAGAUGUUAGGUGUUAAAUACAGAUGUUAGGUGUUAGGUGUUAAAUACAGAUGUUAGGUGUUAAAUACAGAUGUUAGGUGUUAAAUACAGGUGUUAGGUGUUAAAUACAGAUGUUAGGUGUUAGGUGUUAAAUACAGAUGUUAGGUGUUAAAUACAGGUGUUAGGUGUUAAAUACAGAUGUUAGGUGUUAAAUACAGGUGUUAGGUGUUAAAUACAGGUGUUAGGUGUUAAAUACAGAUGUCAGG